ACUGCGCAGGACCUUUGUGCCUUGUCUCCAAGUUUUGAAACACAAAGUGUCCGUCACCCAGGAAUCAGUGGGUGAGGGCGGUAUGAGAAGUGGGCCCGUUCUCAUCCUUGACAUAAGGGGCAUUUCAUAUUUUAUUCAGACUUUUAAAGAGACACGCCGCUCCUGAUGUUGGCAGAAGAGACCCCAGGAGGCGAGGGGAGGUGUGGAAAUCAAGUUCAAAGUCAUUUCUCCUCAGAACGUCAAAGCCAUGCUCUGCUGCAGCUCGAGAGCCACCGUGCCGGCGUGGACCGCAUUGCACGUGCGAUGCAGAAGCCGAGUCCCAGUUGUAUGUGUUUCAUAAAACCCGCCUGACGAGCCUUUGGAUUUACCAUUCGC